rnacentral:sRNA from 1 species
CCUUGAAAGGUUCAUUAUCCGUCCUAAAAUGAUUGGUUAUCAAAUUUUAUUUUUUUAAUAUUUGUU